AACGAACGCUGGCGGCAUGCCUAACACAUGCAAGUCGAACGAGACCUUCGGGUCUAGUGGCGCACGGGUGCGUAACGCGUGGGAACCUGCCCUUAGGUUCGGAAUAACCCCCCGAAAGGGGUGCUAAUACCGGUUAAUGUCUUCGGACCAAAGAUUUAUCGCCUUUGGAUGGGCCCGCGUUGGAUUAGCUGGUUGGUAGGGUAAAAGCCUACCAAGGCGACGAUCCAUAGCUGGUCUGAGAGGAUGAUCAGCCACACUGGGACUGAGACACGGCCCAGACUCCUACGGGAGGCAGCAGUGGGGAAUAUUGGACAAUGAGCGAAAGCCUGAUCCAGCAAUGCCGCGUGAGUGAUGAAGGCCUUAGGGUUGUAAAGCUCUUUUACCCGGGAUGAUAAUGACAGUACCGGGAGAAUAAGCUCCGGCUAACUCCGUG
rnacentral:rRNA from 1 species